UGUUUAAUGUACUUUAAAAUUCACAGGAUAAAUAACUCAAAUAGAAUCGUUAAAUCCAUCACAUCUUUCACUUUACUCAAAAACGAAAAAGCAAAGAAAAGCGUACAAGUAUCAAAACAAGCUGGCCCAACAAUGACAAAUACUAAAAACAGAUAGGUAAACUUUUGCAAUAGAACUUCAAAAGAAUCAGUAAGUAAAGAAGAACAAAGUUGUCCAUCAAGAUCAUACAUAACUCCCCUUUCCCAUUCAUGGUGCUGGGAUGUUUAAGUGAGUAAGUGCAGGCACAUGUUUACAGCUGAUAGUUCAAAACUACUAGAAGGUAGAGUCAUCGUGAAAUAUCUGAGUGUAGAAUUGACAAUAGCAGAUGCUAAACAUGUCAACAAGGCUUCUUCCUGCAAAACAGUCACCCACUCAGCAUCACAGAUGGGUGAUCACAGAAUGCCUCCCAUCAUAUCAUCACUGAUUCAUUGUGAAAACCUCCGACCUGAGAUAAAGACGAGAUUUAUUACCAAGUAUUUCAAAAAAGGUUGAUGGAAUUAAAUUGUUGAUAAACGAAUUGAGACGUGGAGUGACGCACUUAUUUAGAGAAGGCAAGCAGGGUAUAUGGCUAAUAAGGGGAUGGAGAUGAAGACUACCUAAAUAUUCGAACAUGGAUACAUGCAAGGUACGGUUGGGGGUCUCAUAAGAUUUGAUAAGAUGCAAAUUCCUUAUUUCUGAAAACAAUGAAGGCUGAUCUUAGUGAUAAUUCCUUUGUAGUUAUUUCUGCAAAUGUGAGUAGUAAUUAAAAAUUUAUAGCUUUAUUUAGGCUUUCAUCGACUAUUUAUGAUGGAGUUAGUACCUCCAUAUUUAGC
rnacentral:lncRNA from 1 species